ACACGUGGACACCUACCCUUGGGUUCGGCAUAAUCCUGGGAAACUGGGGAUAAUUCCGGAUAGGUCACAGAUGCUGGAAUGCACUGUGGCUCAAAGCUCCGGCGCCCAAGGAUGGGUCUGCGGCCUAUCAGGGUUGUAGUGGGUGUAAUGUACCUACUAGCCUACGACGGGUACGGGUUGUGAGAGCAAGAGCCCGGAGAUGGAUUCUGAGACACGAAUCCAGGCCCUACGGGGUGCAGCAGGCGCGAAAACUUUACAAUGCGGGAAACCGUGAUAAAGGAAUCUCGAGUGCCAGCAUAUAAUGUUGGCUGUCCAGAUGCCUAAAAAGCAUCUGUUAGCAAGGGCCGGGCAAGACCGGUGCCAGCCGCCGCGGUAACACCGGCGGCCCGAGUGGUAACCGCUAUUAUUGGGUCUAAAGGGUCUGUAGCCGGCCAGGUAAGUCCCUUGGGAAAUCUGGCAGCUCAACUGUCAGGCUGCUAGGGGAUACUGUUUGGCUUGGGACCGGGAGAGGUGAGAGGUACCUUGGGGGUAGGGGUGAAAUCUUGUGAUCCUCGGG
rnacentral:rRNA from 1 species